AACGAACGCUGGCGGCAGGCCUAACACAUGCAAGUCGAACGCUCCAGCAAUGGAGAGUGGCAGACGGGUGAGUAACGCGUGGGAACCUACCCUUUGGUUCGGAUAGCCCAGGGAAACUUGGGGUAAUACCGGAUAAGCCCUUCGGGGGAAAGAUUUAUCGCCAAUGGAUGGGCCCGCGUCGGAUUAGCUAGUUGGUGGGGUAACGGCCUACCAAGGCGACGAUCCGUAGCUGGUCUGAGAGGAGGAUCAGCCACACUGGGACUGAGACACGGCCCAGACUCCUACGGGAGAAAGCAGUGGGGAAUAUUGGACAAUGGGCGCAAGCCUGAUCCAGCCAUGCCGCGUGAGUGACGAAGGUCUUCGGAUUGUAAAGCUCUUUUGGCGGGGAAGAUAAUGACGGUACCCGCAGAAUAAGCCCCGGCUAACUUCGUGCCAGCAGCCGCAGUAAAAC
rnacentral:rRNA from 1 species